rnacentral:lncRNA from 1 species
AAUUGUUGAUUAAGGAUCAACAAUUUACCAAUUGGGUAUUAAUCAUUAGAGAAACCCAAAUUUAUAGAUAUUUAGGAUUGCUAAUAUAUGCAACAUUACGGAAAUUUUGGUGAAGUUGGAAGGAGUUAAGUUUCUUAUAACAAGGAAAUUUGGUUUUGGUUGAUUUAGGGUUCUAAGGAGUUAAGUUUCUUGAACAAGGGCUAAGAGACAG